CCAUGAAGCUGGAUUCGCUAGUAAUCGCGCAUCAGCCACGGCGCGGUGAAUACGUUCCCGGGCCUUGUACACACCGCCCGUCAAGCCAUGGAAGCCGGGGGUGCCUGAAGUGCGCUGCCGCGAGGAGCGCCCUAGGGUAAAACCGGUGACUGGGGCUAAGUCGUAACAAGGUAAC
rnacentral:rRNA from 1 species